CACAGACCCAGGGACACUGUUAGCUCAAUACAGGAUUUAUUUACACACCGGUCGGCCUUGGCUUGCCAGGCAAAGGAAUCCAGUGACAGCUGCCUCUCCCUGGCACGCAGCCCCUGCCGGCCCCACAGUCCGCUCCGCUGAGAGGUAGAAAGCUCAGCCGACAACGCACUGGGGCUGGGAAUCCCCCGUCUGCGCAGCGCACGCUGGGUCUGGGUGGCGCCCGCGGGGGCUGUCGGGGAGCAGAGGCGGCUGGGUUUAGGGCGGCAUUGGUUUCUUCUUUACCUUCCUUUGGCUGGGUGAAGCAUUGGGCAAGGAAUCUGCACCGUUUUCCUGGGUUCAUUCUAACCUUAGAAGCAGCAGCAACGUCACCCGAGUGCGCUGAAGGAAGCCCCAGCUUUGGGGUUUUAACCGAGACCGUUUCCCUCCUCAGCCACACGUUGCUAAGCAGCACGCCGAGCUCCUGUACGGCGCUUUUCAUCGGCAGAAAACGAUCAGGAACGUGCUGGAGGAGUCAGAGGCCUUUGAGUUUUAACACAGACUGGAUUUCUCCCAACUCAUACCCAGACAUUUGAGUUGAAAUGCCAGUAAUGAACAAACUAACCCUUCUGGCUCCUUGGCAGGCUGGGGGGGGUGUCUCUUCAUCCGUGAGCCCCCGCUGUCCAUAGGGCCAGCCAGCCCUGAUUUCUAGCCUAAAUCCACCACCCAGCCCCCUACCAUUCUUUAAUAAUUAAAAGCGAGAGAAAAACGCAUGCAGGUAGCAAAGCAGGGGUCACAAGGGGGCGCGGCCCCCACAGGCUCUUUCUUUCCUUCCACAGGCAGGUCUGACCAGGAAUCCGAGCCCCCCCGACAAGCGGGAGUGGCCAGGCCAAAGCCGGCUUCGCGGGAGGGGACGGGGGGCUCCGGCAGACGGCAGAGCUCCGGGACGGGCUCCCCUCAGGACCCCGCAUUACGCCUGUCGCCCAGUAAGGACGUUGUCUCGUCGGCGCUCCUGCGAGAUUCUGCAACGAAAACACAGACGGGGGGAGUCUUCAGCCAGCGAACCCACCGAUCUGCUGGGUCACACCUCGCUUCCCAUCUGAAUUUGGCGGCGCCGGCGUCCAGCCGUCGGAUCGGAAAACUCUCUGGCCUCGAACUUCUGUUCCCGCUUCCAGCCAUGCCUAGAGGGGCCCCUGCCUCCCUGUAACCCCACUGGGGAGCUACGCGGACCGAGCUCCUGGAGUCGGGGUUUCCAGCUCUUUCAUCAUUUUCGUGGCCCUUCUUUGAGCCCUCGGCAACUGAUCGACGCCCUCCCCGAAUCAGGGCCCCCAGAACUGGAUCCCAGCCGCGGCUGCACCGGGGCCGAACCCAGAGGGCAAAUCCCAUCUCCCGAGUCCUGUUUACACGGCCCAGGAUGGCAUCAGUGCUUUUCUCCACCCCGCCCCCAGAUCUUUGCCAGAGCCCGUUUCCCAGGAGGGAGCCCCCCAGGCCCAGACACCUCCAAGAGCCACCGGACCAUGGGCUGGUGUGCGUGUCCCCUCUGUUCCCCGCCAGAGAGAUCCUUACCGGUCUCCGGCGUCGUCCCGCUCCCAGUGCCUCUGCCUCAUCCUCUGGGAACGGCUCCAGGUUUAUAUACCCGCCACCCCGCCCUGAAUGCCCAGACCAGCUGGAUCACAGCGGGGCGAAGUCACGGGGUGGGGAGAAGUCGGGGUGUUUUCACAACCACCCCGGAGCAGCCGGUAGGGUU